rnacentral:rRNA from 1 species
AACAUUUCUUUUAGAUUUUUUUAAAAGUAAAGUCUGCCCACUGUUUUAUAAUAAAGGGCCGCGGUAUUUUGACCGUGCAAAGGUAGCAUAAUCAUUAGUCUCUUAAUUGGGGAAUGGAAUGAAUGGCUUAAUGAUUUUUUUUCUUUUAUUUAUAAUGUUUUUAAAAUUUUGAUUUUAAGUGAAAAUACUUAAAUUUUUUAGUAAGACGAUAAGACCCUAUAGAAUUUUAUUUCUUUUUUUAUUUAAAUAAAAUUAGAAGUUUGAAUGGGGCAUUUAUUGAAUACAGAUAAUUUCUAUAAAAUAUAUUAAAAAAUAUCUUUAUUUUUAGAUUUUUAAAAAAUUACCUUAGGGAUAACAGCGUAAUAAUUUUUGAGAGUUCAUAUCGACAAAAUAGUUUGCGACCUCGAUGUUGAAUUAAAAUGCCUUUAUAAAGCAGCUUUUAUAAAAGGUAGUCUGUUCGACUAUAAAAUUUUUACAUGAUUUGAGU